UGGAAGUCGGAAUCCGCUAAGGAGGGUGUAACAACUCACCUGCCGAAUGGACUAGCCCCGAAAAUGGAUGGCGCUUAAGCGGGUGACUGAUACCCAACCAUUGCUGCAAAUCUCAGCAAUGAGUAGGAGGGCAUGGGGGCUUGUGAUGAAGCUUUUGGCGUAAGCCUGGGUGAAACAGCUCCUAGUGCAGAUCUUGGUGGUAGUA
rnacentral:rRNA from 1 species